rnacentral:rRNA from 2 species
GCGUGCCUAAUACAUGCAAGUCGAACGAACUCUGGUAUUGAUUGGUGCUUGCAUCAUGAUUUACAUUUGAGUGAGUGGCGAACUGGUGAGUAACACGUGGGAAACCUGCCCAGAAGCGGGGGAUAACACCUGGAAACAGAUGCUAAUACCGCAUAACAACUUGGACCGCAUGGUCCGAGUUUGAAAGAUGGCUUCGGCUAUCACUUUUGGAUGGUCCCGCGGCGUAUUAGCUAGAUGGUGAGGUAACGGCUCACCAUGGCAAUGAUACGUAGCCGACCUGAGAGGGUAAUCGGCCACAUUGGGACUGAGACACGGCCCAAACUCCUACGGGAGGCAGCAGUAGGGAAUCUUCCACAAUGGACGAAAGUCUGAUGGAGCAACGCCGCGUGAGUGAAGAAGGGUUUCGGCUCGUAAAACUCUGUUGUUAAAGAAGAACAUAUCUGAGAGUAACUGUUCAGGUAUUGACGGUAUUUAACCAGAAAGCCACGGCUAACUACGUGCCAGCAGCCGCGGUAAUACGUAGGUGGCAAGCGUUGUCCGGAUUUAUUGGGCGUAAAGCGAGCGCAGGCGGUUUUUUAAGUCUGAUGUGAAAGCCUUCGGCUCAACCGAAGAAGUGCAUCGGAAACUGGGAAACUUGAGUGCAGAAGAGGACAGUGGAACUCCAUGUGUAGCGGUGAAAUGCGUAGAUAUAUGGAAGAACACCAGUGGCGAAGGCGGCUGUCUGGUCUGUAACUGACGCUGAGGCUCGAAAGUAUGGGUAGCAAACAGGAUUAGAUACCCUGGUAGUCCAUACCGUAAACGAUGAAUGCUAAGUGUUGGAGGGUUUCCGCCCUUCAGUGCUGCAGCUAACGCAUUAAGCAUUCCGCCUGGGGAGUACGGCCGCAAGGCUGAAACUCAAAGGAAUUGACGGGGGCCCGCACAAGCGGUGGAGCAUGUGGUUUAAUUCGAAGCUACGCGAAGAACCUUACCAGGUCUUGACAUACUAUGCAAAUCUAAGAGAUUAGACGUUCCCUUCGGGGACAUGGAUACAGGUGGUGCAUGGUUGUCGUCAGCUCGUGUCGUGAGAUGUUGGGUUAAGUCCCGCAACGAGCGCAACCCUUAUUAUCAGUUGCCAGCAUUAAGUUGGGCACUCUGGUGAGACUGCCGGUGACAAACCGGAGGAAGGUGGGGAUGACGUCAAAUCAUCAUGCCCCUUAUGACCUGGGCUACACACGUGCUACAAUGGAUGGUACAACGAGUUGCGAACUCGCGAGAGUAAGCUAAUCUCUUAAAGCCAUUCUCAGUUCGGAUUGUAGGCUGCAACUCGCCUACAUGAAGUCGGAAUCGCUAGUAAUCGCGGAUCAGCAUGCCGCGGUGAAUACGUUCCCGGGCCUUGUACACACCGCCCGUCACACCAUGAGAGUUUGUAACACCCAAAGUCGGUGGGGUAACCUUUUAGGAACCAGCCGCCUAAGGUGGA